rnacentral:rRNA from 1 species
AAUUCGAAGCAACGCGAAGAACCUUACCAGGCCUUGACAUGCAGAGAACUUCCAGAGAUGGAUUGGUGCCUUCGGGAACUCUGACACAGGUGCUGCAUGGCUGUCGUCAGCUCGUGUCGUGAGAUGGUUGGGUUAAGUCCCGUAACGAGCGCAACCCUUGUCCUUAGUUACCAGCACGUUAUGGUGGGCACUCUAAGGAGACUGCCGGUGACAAACCGGAGGAAGGUGGGGAUGACGUCAAGUCAUCAUGGCCCUUACGGCCUGGGCUACACACGUGCUACAAUGGUCGGUACAAAGGGUUGCCAAGCCGCGAGGUGGAGCUAAUCCCAUAAAACCGAUCGUAGUCCGGAUCGCAGUCUGCAACUCGACUGCGUGAAGUCGGAAUCGCUAGUAAUCGUGAAUCAGAAUGUCACGGUGAAUACGUUCCCGGGCCUU